GAUGAAGAACGUAGCGAAAUGCGAUACUUGGUGUGAAUUGCAGAAUCCCGUGAACCAUCGAGUCUUUGAACGCAAGUUGCGCCCGAAGCCACUAGGCCGAGGGCACGCCUGCCUGGGCAUCACACGUCGUUGCCCCCCCAUCUACUCCUUCGGGAUUGCGGGGGGGCGGAUGAUGGCCUCCCGUGCGCCUAGCCGCGCGGUUGGCAUAAAUACCAAGUCCUCGGCGACGCACGCCACGACAAUCGGUGGUUGCGAAACCUCGGUUGCCCGUCGUGUGCGUUCGUCGCGCAUCGAGGGCUCGAAAAAAUGCUCGGCUUCGGCUCGGCUUUCAACGCGACCCCAGGUCAGGCGGGGUUACCCGCUGAAUUUAAGCAUAUCAAUAAGCGGAGGA
rnacentral:misc_RNA from 1 species